AUUGAACGCUGGCGGCAUGCCUUACACAUGCAAGUCGAACGGCAGCACGGACUUCGGUCUGGUGGCGAGUGGCGAACGGGUGAGUAAUGUAUCGGAACGUACCUUUCAGUGGGGAUAACGUAGCGAAAGUUACGCUAAUACCGCAUAUUCUGUGAGCAGGAAAGCAGGGGAUCGCAAGACCUUGCGCUGAUUGAGCGGCCGAUAUCAGAUUAGCUAGUUGGUGAGGUAAAGGGCUCACCAAGGCGACGAUCUGUAGCGGGUCUGAGAGGAUGAUCCGCCACACUGGAACUGAGACACGGUCCAGACUCCUACGGGAGGCAGCAGUGGGGAAUUUUGGACAAUGGGGGCAACCCUGAUCCAGCCAUGCCGCGUGAGUGAAGAAGGCC
rnacentral:rRNA from 1 species